CAGCCGCCGCGGUAAUACCGGCGGCCCGAGUGGCGGUCACUAUUAUUGGGCUUAAAGCGUCCGUAGCCGGGUUGGGAAGUCCUCCGGGAAAUCUGGCCGCUUAACGGUCAGAAUGCCGGAGGAUACUCCCAGCCUAGGGAGCGGGAGAGGCCGAGGGUAUUCCCGGAGUCGGGGGGAAAUCCUAUAAUCCCGGGAGGACCACCUGUGGCGAAGGCGCUCGGCUGGAACGCGUCCGACGGUGAGGGACGAAGGCCAGGGGAGCAAACCGGAUUAGAUACCCGGGUAGUCCUGGCUGUAAACGAUGCGGACUUUGUGUCGGACAAGCUAUGAGCUUGUCCGGUGCCGGAGGGAAACCGUUAAGUCCGCCGCCUGGGGAGUACGGCCGCAAGGCUGAAACUUAAAGGAAUUGGCGGG
rnacentral:rRNA from 1 species